AACUAAAUUAUCAACUUAUAAGAUUCCCACCACCUUCAUAUCUCGCAUUCCUGGCGAGGAGUUUCUUCGUUGUGGUAGACAGUGGCUGAAUUUUUCAAAAAACGUGAUAACUGGAUCACAAUUUUCACAAAGCAAGAAGCAUGAAAUGAGUUUGGCGAAAGGACCAAGGUCUAAUUAAUAAACAAAAAUCGACAACUCAUCAAAGAUAGGUAAACAGCAAGCUACCGUGUUUCAAUAACAAUGAAGAGAUCGACUAAUUCCUGGAGAAACUUCGGAUUUACCUACAAAUGUGUAAUUGUAGACGGGAUUUUUGUUAUUUAUUUGCUUAUUAGAGGUUUAGUCUGCAUUAAAUUGCACAUUAAAAAUAGUUAUCAAGCAUGUAAUUAUAAUUAUUAAAUAAAAAAUAAAGCCGACUGUAAAAAUUAAACGUAACUGAGGUUGUAGUUCUGCAGUUGCAUCAAACGUUCAAAUUACCUGACGAAAACAUUUAUCUAGUUAAACUUUACCCAAUCUUCGAAAUCGGGCAAUAAUGUAUUGUUAUCUGAGACCAAAAUCUGGGUUAAUUAGACAAUUAAGACAAAAGCGUUUUAGUAAAAAUAUAACGGGCUAUAUUGUGUAACCAUUGAGUAAAAAUUGCAGCAAUAUUCCAAAUAAAGUGCUGUAUUAACCCAGCUUCAAGUUCCUAAUUGAGAUUGCAGUGCAUGAAGCAGAUGAUUACAUUAAAGUUUCGUUAGACUAAACUGUAUAAAACAUUAUUGUUGGUCAGUUUAUCUUAAUAUUAUCUUGCUUUCUUCUUGUUUGUGUGUAAGAAAGGCACACAAUUUAAAUUCCGGAGUGCAGUAGUAAAAUUGUAAAAGUUGAGGUAAUAAUUUAUUUCUUCUUCAAACACAUAUCACAGAAAUUUUUGUAAAAUUACAUAAUCGACAAUUUACCAGUCCUUUUUCAAAUUUCAUGAUUAUUAGCUAUUAUCUUCGAGAGAUCGUGCAGAAAAUAUCAUGAACAAAAAAAUUGAUUCAAAGUCUAUUACCUCACAAGCAAAUCCAAUAUCACGUUUACAUUCUUAUUAGAUUUACUUGUCAUGGUAAAUUGUGCUUCCACUUACUUUCUGAGGAUACAGAUGAACCGUUUAUUGCAGUUUAGAACUACAACUACGUUUUCCUACAAAUUGUUUAAUCAAAAAUAAAUAUUUCGUAAAUAUUACUACAGUAUAGAUAUUAAUAAACACGAGAUAAUUAGCUUGAUUCAUUUUAGUUAG